rnacentral:rRNA from 1 species
GACAGAGGGGGCAAGCGUUGCUCGGAAUUACUGGGCGUAAAGGGCGCGUAGGCGGGAUGGCAAGUCGGUCGUGAAAUCCCUCGGCUCAACCGAGGAACGUCGAUCGAUACUGCUGUUCUUGAGGAUUGCAGAGGAGACUGGAAUUCCUGGUGUAGCGGUGAAAUGCGCAGAUAUCAGGAAGAACACCCGUGGCUAAGGCGGCUCUCUAGUACGGUACUGACGCUGAGACGCGAAAGCGUGGGGAGCGAACAGG